UACUUUCAUGUGGUAUUUUGUGCUGAGUACUCGUUAGUUGAACUAGUGUUUCAGUUUCGUACAGGCCGAAGGUGAUCGCGCUCAGUUGUUUAAUUUUAAAGAUUUUAAACAGAACAUUGUUGAGCCUAAAAAUUAAUAAUUGUGUCAUUUAUUUUAAACGCAAUUAUUCGAAGCUACAAGAAAGUACAUAUACUGUUUACGAAUUACUACUCCGACGGAUCCGAUAAGUAUAAAAUGUACAACCGCUUUAUAAGACAGAGACUAAUCAAAAAGCAAACGGGCCAUAUUAGUUCAAACCUAAGAUUUGCUUGUCAGUAAAACCAUACCCCAUUUGUGACAUUGACUGGAGAAAUUACCCUAUGAGUAUAUAGAUAAAACUUCAAACAAACUUAUUCGAUUGAAAGUAUUAGAAAGACAUCUUAAACAAACUAGAAGGAAAUUUGCAAGGAUUGAAAAACAGACUUAUGCCAACACGGCUCAUCUGUUCUCAAAGCAACUACUCUCCACACAAGGGAUGAUUAAAAAAAAUUACAUGUUUUUUAAGAGUAUGACAACAAUGUUAACAGCAAUGCUCACACUCUUUACUACAAUUAAAAAAAAGAUAUAAUGUUAAAAAUUAACAUCAUCGACAUAGUAUUAAGAUUUUGUCUUCA